CCUUGACAUUUAGAAUCAGUAUAUGAUUACCUUUCAUUUUUUGUGAAUUUCAGCUUGUGACACCAAAACCCCCACAGAAGUCAUUUCUAGACGACUUUCUGUGCAAGGAGCGCUCUACUAUAUGCCAUAUUGAAUUUCAUGCAAUUCGGUUCAUAACUAACCCAAUCUACACGUCCGUUCCUUGUACAUAGCUGGUAUGACAGAUUAGUUACGUUUACAUACCUGUUACAUUUCACUGAAGGCUCUAAAGUAUAUUUAUUUGUUACUUUAAUAGUACGUAGCCGGUAUGUUUUCUCUAACAAACAUGCAGUAGAUUUUUAAGGGCACAUAAUUUAACAAGUUCAGUAUGUAACAAGUCCGUUUAUUGUGAAAUGUACUCCUUACGUGAUGAAUUUGAGUACCAUACAAGAAACAUUUCAAUUUAAAAUUGACAAUUAAUAGUUUGGUUAUAGUAUAUGCGAUCCUGGGUGACGUAUAUUUCUUUGUUCUUCGCGUUGGUGAAUGCUUUGGAAUAAUUAGCGCCACUCAGGCCCUUGUAUUGUAGACAAAUUGGCAUAUCUUUGAUUUUAACAUUUGUAAAAAUGCCAAAAAAGUUGUUUUGCGAAGUCUCGAGUAGGCAAAAACGCAGAAGAAUUCUGAAAGAACUUACAACCAGUUCGAUUGUACCCGAAUGUAAUUGUGUAAAUGCUAUUAGUGCUGAUACAUAUGCUGAUUGUUUGUCAUUACCACUUAGUUCGAAUCGCAGCACUUCGGGAGAAUUUGAAAACACUAAUUCUUUACUUACCUCCGUGCAUAGUACAAUAACUUGUGAUAGCAGUGAAAUUAGUGACACUACUAGUAUCCGUGUUUGUGAAACCAACUGUGAACUGAUAACGGAGAACCAUAAUGAAUCCUUUAGUCUUUCAGAGUUCAAGAAUAAAUUGCGUUCUUGGGCAAGUUUUCAUAGUGUUUCUCACAUGUCAAUUAGUAAUCUUUUAAGCAUUUUAAGAACAGUAAACGUUUUAAGUGGACUUCCACAAGACGCACGAACACUUAUGCAAACACCCCGAAAUGCAACGGAAAAUAUAAUUGCUUUGGGUGGCGGUGAAUUUGUGCAUAUGGGAUUUGUUAAAAGCUUACAAUCUUCAUUACAAAAACAUUACACCUGUCUACCAACAACAGUGAAAGUAAAUUUAAACAUUGAUGGACUACCACUAACAAAAAGCUCGUCUAGUCAAUUUUGGCCAAUUCUCGGUUCGAUAGUGGACUCAUUUUAUACAAAGCCAUUUGUAAUUAGUGUAUAUCAUGGUUUUCACAAGCCUUUAUCAAGCAAAGACUUCCUUUCUUAUUUUGUACAAGAAGCAAGAGAUAUUUUAGAAAAUGGGAUCAACUACAAUGGAAGUAUCAUUAAUGUGCAGUUAAAUGCAAUCAUAUGUGAUGCACCUGCCAGGUCCUAUAUUAGUGGUGUAAAAGGACAUAACGGGUACUUUGGUUGUUCAAAAUGUAUCCAAGAAGGGGAUUAUGUUGACAAUCGUAUGACAUUCCCGGAAAUAUCUUCGGUUUUAAGGACUGAUGAAUCCUUUAGAAAUAAACUUCAUGUUGAACAUCAUAAAGAUUCAAAGGAAGCAAAUAUUUUAGAAUGUCUGAAUAUAGGAAUGGUAACACAAUUCCCUAUUGAUUACAUGCACGCUGUUUGUAUUGGAGUCACAAAAAAGUUAAUUUACUUUUGGAUAAAUGGGAAAAAAGAUGUGCGUUUGAAGCCUAAUGAUAUUCAAAAUGUGACUAAUCAUCUAAGUCUAUUGAAACCGAGCAUCACUGGUGAAUUUAGUAGAAAACCUCGCAGUAUUACAGAAUAUGAACGGUGGAAAGCUACUGAAUUACGCACUUUCUUACUGUAUACGGGUCCAGUUGUAUUACGAGAAGUUCUUCCGGGCGAUUAUUACGACCAUUUUUUAUCAUUAAGUGUGGCAAUUAGAAUCUUAUGUGAUAAAAAUUUGUACAUAGUUUUAAAUAAUUAUGCGCACACGAUCCUAGAAUGGUUUGUAAAAAAAUAUUUUAUUUUGUAUGGUGAGCAACGUAUAGUUUACAAUGUACAUAGUUUAUUACAUCUAGCAAAUGACAGUAAAUUGUUUGGCCCAUUAGAUGAAUAUAGUGCUUUUAAAUUUGAAAAUUUUAUGCAAAUUAUUAAGAAGAAAGUGAAGAAUUCUAGUCGUCCGUUACAACAGUUGUUUAAUCGAUUAAUGGAAGAAGAAAGUUUACAAGGAAAGUCAAAUUGUACAUCUGAAGCAAACAAAAUGACUUCCAAACUGUCAUUUGAGGGUUUCACAAUUUCCCAAAAACCACACGAUAACUGCUUUGAACAUGAAAAUGGAGAUGUAAUGGAAGUUGUGAACAUUUCAAUGAAAGAUUGCAUGAUUAAUGCUCAAAAAUACCAGAAAGUAGAGCCGCUCUUUACUGCACCAUGUAAUUCUGUGAAAUUAGGAAUAUGUAUUGUAAAACAAUCCGAUUUAAGGCAGGAUAUUGACACAAUUGACAAAAAAUGUGUAAAGAGAAAGUGUUUGAAGUUACCUUUAUAUUUAAAUAGUUCCGGCAGUGUGAAUGAGCAUGCUAUUUUUCCGUUAAUUCAUAGUGACGGUCAGAAAGAGUAAAAGAAAUUAAUUAGAUAUGGGUUUAAAAGUGUUAUACUUAUGUGGUGAAUGUGUACAUUAGAUCAAUAUAUUUUGCCUAUACAUACUUUUUAUUUAAAUUUCAACAAAUAACUUUAAUCGCUUUUACUUUUGUAAUCUCAUUUAUAUUUAUAUAUAGUUGUGCACAAUGGAAAAAAGACACCAGUUCCAAACAGUAUGCUGUAGUUCGCUUCGACGACGAGUCCGUAUCGGAGGUCCCUAUUACAUGGCUCUUCGACAAUAAUCGCAGUAGUUGGUGGCCGCGCAAUUCAAAGGUUGCGACCAGCUACAUUAAUCGUUAUUCACCCCCAGACCCAGAUAGUUGGAGUAAAUACAGUGUGGUAGCCGUUGAAGCAAUUUGUGAUUCUCUAGAAGUAGCAAGGAAGAAAGCUGAAGAUAUUCACUACAGUGAAGGUGAAGAUAAAGAUCGGGGACGUGGAAAACGAUUGGUACAACGGAGCACAUUACUAAGCAAUUUCAUCGAUGGCUCUAAUAAUGGAUCUAGCGAUAGUGAUGUUGAAGCUAGAACGAAACGAAUACUUACCCCACCUCCUGAGCUGCCACCGGAUCUUGACAUAUCCUCAAUGGAAAUGGUUAUUUUAAACAAAAAUACAAAUAUUGAUACAAUGAAUGAACAAUGUAAGUAUAUCCUCAUACAUAAUACAUACAUUUACUUCGCCAUCAAUGGUAGUUCCACACGGAGAAUAUGCAGAAGAUGAGUAUGUCGAGGAGUAUGCGGAAUCUUAUGCCGAGUCCCAAGAAGUACCAGUAAACCAAUUUAAUUCCCAAUCCAUUAAUCGUAAUGGAAAUUAUGAAAUCAGUGUGAUGCACAAAAUAUUAGAAAUGGUAACAGAAAUAAAAAUUCAAGUCAACGAUAUUGCCAGAAAUAUGCAGAGUUUCAAAGUAGACAAGCAGCCCGUUGAACAAUACGACAUAUUUACCAAAUGCCUGCCCUUAAAUAGUUUUGAAGCGAUUGAGAAGUUUGAGGAAUUAAUAAGCGACCUUGAAAUCAACAAAUUAUUUAAAACAUUUUUAACUACAAUUGGUGGAAAUGAUUACAAAGAUAAUAUAAACCGAGUUUAUAAAAUACUGUUUACAAAUGAAUUGGGAAUGGGUUGUUCCUGGUUGGGCCAGCGAAAUAACAAGCGUAUGGUAGACUUAAAAAUUAUUGCUGCUGUUAAAG